CGCUGAUGGAGGCGGCUCUGCUCCCGGGGUCUCUCAUCCUCCUCCGGGAUCGGCAAGCUGCCCUGGAACGUUCUUCUCACGGCAGUGGCAGAGGCACCAGAGGGCCGGUGGACACUCAAAAGAUUAAGCAUACCGUCACUUCCUCCCGUUCUAUGGAGCAAUGUAAGUCACGUGGUCUGCCCAAAGUCAAAGGCAGGGAACGAUGCACCACCCGUGGAAGCGAGGGCAGCUGCCAAGUCACGUGGCCAAAGGUGAGUUCGGGGGGGACAUCCUUCCCUCCCUCGUGCCUUGUACGUGGCAGCAUCUGGUGACAUAAAUGACGCAGCAGGGAGGUCUCAAGUUCCCUUCCGAAGACAGCAGAGCUGCCGACUUUCCUCCUCCCUCUCAUCUAGAUGAGCCGGUGCCGCUUUAACCAAACGCCCCUCGGUGGGUUGUGGAGAAACAUUACCUGUCCUUUCUCUUCUCCUCAUUGUCUCUGCUAACGUUAAGGAUAAUGUGAUUCUCGUUGUCUGGAUCUCGAGUGACACCAAGACACUCAUCGGCUUCGUGACCCUCGCGUCAACCCCACGGAGUGUGAGGAGGAGGGAGCAAGCCCACGACAAUGGAUAAUUGUUGACAACAGUAACCAUAAUGGUGCUCGUUCAGCUCUUGCUCUGAUCCAGGCACUGAUUUACACAACCGACUCAUUCAUUAAAGAGGAAUUGCUCAUCACCAGGUCUCUGGAAUCCCAGGGGCUCUGCCUCCGUGCUGUGCAGCCUUGGGCAAGUUACUUAACCUCUCUGGGUUCGGUUGUGGACAGUUGUGAGUUUUUGUCAUUUUACUGUGCAUAGUCCUGGAUCUUCUUUUCCUUAGGUUCCAUAUUUUGGGCUGUCGGGAGGCCUGGAUAUGACCAGUGGCUGGAAAGCUCUGGGAAGAGAGCCUGGCACACUGAAAGUGCUCAUCAGAUACAUCGGGUCCCCAAAUAAUGUCACUUUGUUCAACGUCGCUCUGUUAUAACAUCGACAAGAAAAAAAACAAUUCCGGGGGUGGGGCCACGGUCAGCGUGGCUGCGCACCGUCCCCACGUCCACGUGCGUUCUCUCUGCGUCCUCCGGUGUCCUCCCACAUCCCGAAGGUGUGCUCGGGAGGUGAACACGUGCGUUUGCUCUGCCUG